UACGUAGGGUGCAAGCGUUGUCCGGAAUUAUUGGGCGUAAAGAGCUCGUAGGCGGUUUGUCGCGUCUGCUGUGAAAACUCGGGGCUUAACUCCGGGCCUGCAGUGGGUACGGGCAGACUAGAGUGCGGUAGGGGGAGACUGGAAUUCCUGGUGUAGCGGUGGAAUGCGCAGAUAUCAGGAGGAACACCGGUGGCGAAGGCAGCUCGCUGGGACGGUACUGACGCUGAGACGCGAAAGCGUGGGGAGCAAACAGG
rnacentral:rRNA from 1 species